rnacentral:rRNA from 1 species
AUAUACGACCGUACCGCAAACCGACACUGGUGCGCGAGAUGAGUAUUCUAAGGCGCUUGAGAGAACUCAGGAGAAGGAACUCGGCAAAUUGACACCGUAACUUCGGAAGAAGGUGUGCCCUAUUAGUGUGUAGUGAACAACGAAGCAUGAAUGGGUUGCAAAAAAUCGGUGGCUGCGACUGUUUAUUAAAAACACAGCACUCUGCAAACACGAAAGUGGACGUAUAGGGUGUGACGCCUGCCCGGUGCUGGAAGAUUAAAUGAUGGGGUGCAAGCUCUUGAUUGAAGUCCCAGUAAACGGCGGCCGUAACAAUAACGGUCCUAAGGUAGCGAAAUUCCUUGUCGGGUAAGUUCCGACCUGCACGAAUGGCGUAACGAUGGCCACACUGUCUCCUCCUGAGACUCAGCGAAGUUGAAAUGUUUGUGAUGAUGCAAUCUCCCCGCGGAAAGACGGAAAGACCCCAUGAACCUUUACUGUAGCUUUGUAUUGGACUUUGAACAGAUCUGUGUAGGAUAGGUGGGAGGCUUUGAAGCAGGGUCGCUAGAUCUUGUGGAGCCAACGUUGAAAUACCACCCUGGUGUGUUUGAGGUUCUAACCUAGGUCCAUUAUCUGGAUCGGGGACAGUGCAUGGUAGGCAGUUUGACUGGGGCGGUCUCCUCCCAAAGCGUAACGGAGGAGUUCGAAGGUACGCUAGUUACGGUCGGACAUCGUGACGAUAGUGCAAUGGCAUAAGCGUGCUUAACUGCGAGACUGACAAGUCGAGCAGAUGCGAAAGCAGGACAUAGUGAUCCGGUGGUUCUGUAUGGAAGGGCCAUCGCUCAACGGAUAAAAGGUACUCUGGGGAUAACAGGCUGAUACCGCCCAAGAGUUCAUAUCGACGGCGGUGUUUGGCACCUCGAUGUCGGCUCAUCUCAUCCUGGGGCUGUAGCCGGUCCCAAGGGUAUGGCUGUUCGCCAUUUAAAGAGGUACGUGAGCUGGGUUUAAAACGUCGUGAGACAGUUUGGUCCCUAUCUUCCGUGGGCGCUGCAGAUUUGAGGAAGCCUGCUCCUAGUACGGGAGGACCGGAGUGGACACACCUCUGGUGUAUCGGUUGUCACGCCAGUGGCAUUGCCGAGUAGCUAAGUGUGGAAGAGAUAACCGCUGAAAGCAUCUAAGCGGGAAACUCGUUUCAAGAUGAGAUCUGCCGGGGCCUUGAGCCCCCUAAAGAGUCGUUCAAGACCAGGACGUUGAUAGGUCAGGUGUGGAAGCG